rnacentral:rRNA from 1 species
UACAGAGGUCUCAAGCGUUGUUCGGAUUCACUGGGUGUAAAGGGUGCGUAGGCGGGCGAAUAAGUCAGCGGUGAAAUCUUACGGCUCAACCGUGAAACUGCCGUUGAUACUGUUUUUCUUGAGUUCGGGAGAGGUUGAUGGAAUUCCAGGUGUAGCGGUGAAAUGCGUAGAUAUCUGGAAGAACACCAGUGGCGAAGGCGGUCAACUGGCCCGAAACUGACGCUGAGGCACGAAAGCGUGGGUAGCGAACAGG